rnacentral:lncRNA from 1 species
AAAAACAGACGCGUAGGCAUUAUAGUUGGAGAAAGCAGUUGUUCCCCUUUGUGGUCAGCGACUAGAAACACACCCAAGUUCACUAAAGCAUGGGCCUCUUCAAGAUAUUCAUCUCCUGCCUAUGUUGUAUGCAAGAUGAAACGCAACUAGCUUCGCUGGCAAAUGGGUCCAAUAAGAGCGCACAAUCUUGUCAGUGACCCUGCAACAAGUGCAACUUACCAAAUUUUCAUUUCACGCCCAGGAACUUAAAAGUGGGAUUUUCAAAUUCUAUAUUCCCUCGUCUCCCCCCAAAUAAUAAAAACAUGGCUACCGCAGUGCUCCUCCAAACUCCCACCUUGUAUUUCCAAAAUCAACAUUGUCCUCACUGCUGGUGUCGGUGUUUAAACCCGGCAACCUACCAACAGAGGUGCCCGAGGUAGUGUUUCAGUUAGUGGGGCUCAUCGAGAUCAGGAACUCGAAGGUAAAUGCAGACACACAAUUUAG